UUAGGAUGGAUGUGUACUCAGGAUUCACCCUAUCCCAAAGAACCUUCUGGUCACCCUCCCCCAAAACAUGCUAAUGCUCCAAAGGCUUGAAUCCUGAGUCAGAAACUCUCCUCCACCCCCUCAAAAUGAACAAAGUGACUUCUCAUGUAGUGAGAGCACCAGCAUCCCUGUGGGAGAAGAGGAGGAAUGAAGCUAGGCAGCAGGUCCUGCCUGGCAGGAGGUUGUUUUCAUCCACAGCUGGAUAGAAUCACCAAUCAGUGCUAGCUCGUCUCAUUUCUCUCAAGUUGGUAUCCUGGCAGGCACUGGGCAAAUUACUCCCAUACCUAAGGAGAGGAGAUGAAUGGUGUAUUCACAGGAGGAUUCGGAUUUCAUCUACACCCUGCUUCAUGAACCACAGCUGACUGGCUGAAGUUGAAAACUCACUGAAGGGCAUUUUCUGUGUCACUUCAGGCAGCUGCACAUGAAAUUGAUGGAACAUUAACUUUUGCAGGUGAGCUGAGCUUCAUUUCUAAUUUGCUGAAAAGCAGGAAGUAUUUAGGACCGUUUGGCCUUGAAG